AUGAGCUACCAACUCUCCGGCUGCCCACUGAGCCGCCGCAUUCGCUUCUUCUUCGUCCCAUCCCACGAACGCGAGUGCAGCGUCGAGCCAGCAAGUGCAGAGGAGAUCACGUCGCUCUUCUGCGGGGACCCGGUGAAGCCGGCGCUGCUGCUGCUGGGCAUCUGCGGCACCACCAUGUUCAUCAGCAUGUGGAUCCACAACACGCCGUGCACCGUCAUGAUGAUGCCGGUGGCCACGGAGAUCCUGCAGAGGUUCCCCGGCGAGGAGGCCGCCAGCGCCGACGCAAGCGAGUUCAGGCGGUUCUCCAAGGCGGUGGUGCUCGGCGUCGUCUACGCGUUGGCGAUCGGCGGGAUGGCCACGCUCACCGGCACGGCGCCAACAUCAUCUUGCUCCUGGAUGUCCUUCGGGCUCCCCAUGUCGCUCGUCCUCUUCGCGGCGCUCUGGGCCACGCUCUGCCUCAUGUACUGCUCCAACAACACCGGGACGGCGCUCUCCGCUUACCUUGACCGCACCAAUCUCAGGAGGGAGCUCAGCUUGCUUGGUACCCUAUCUUUCUUGCUCUCUCUCUGCACUUGA
rnacentral:rRNA from 1 species